rnacentral:rRNA from 1 species
AUGGCCGCCGGGAGGAGGCUGUCGGAGCUGCUCCAGGAGCAGCAGGAGCCGUUCCUCGUCGAGGCCGCCAAGAUUCGGAGGCCGCGGCGCGGCCGUGGAGGUGCAGGCAGCGAGGGAGGAGCAGGAGGGGCUUGCUGCCCGGUGGCCGCGUGCCAGCGGCUGCUCAGGCUCUGCAACCACGGCUUCAAGAAGAGGAGCGGUGGCGGUGGCAUUGGCGGCCUCAGGUCCGCGCUGAGCAAGGUGCUGUGCGGCAAGGCCUUGAGGAGCGCGUUCCGCUGGGAAAAUCUUGGCGGCGGGUGUUUCACCGGCGUGGGCGUCGGCGGCGACCGCGAGUUCCGUCGGCUGCGGCGGUCUGCCGGCCACAGCGGCGAAUGCGAUGCCCGUGCCAUGGAGUUCGACGACGAGUACGAGCGAGAGGGAGCAGCGAGGUGGAAGACGGACAUGGAGGUGGACUCGUCGCGGCAGCUCAGCCCGGUCUCCGUCCUGGAGCUGCACUCCGACGAGGACUCUCCGGUGCAUCCCCGAUGGGAGGAGGACGAGAAGCCAUCAACCUCCGGGAGCUCACCCUCAAUUUUGUCCUCAGACUUCCAUGGCCCCACCUCGCCGUGCUUCACCUACAACGUCCACGGCGGCAAGGCUCUUGCAAUGGAGACGACAGAGGAAGAGGACGAAGAGGCGGCCGGCAACCGCGGCGGCAAGUGCAUCGAGGAGCAGAUCUCGUCGUGGGAGAGGAUCGCGGGGGACAUCUACAAGAUCCCCGGGAUGGUGGAGCUGGACCUGUCAGAGCACACGCAGCAAUGGAGGAGGGGGCUGGAGCCUGAGGUCAGGGAGAUCGGCGCCAGGAUAGAGACCCUCAUCUUCGAGGAGAUCAGGAGGGAGACCGUCUGCGACAUGCUCGCCUCACACUGUACAUUAUUUUCACCACCUUCUCGUUGA